AGUCAGCUGUGUCAGGUGAGCAGAGAUGAACAGCCAGAGCUGUGCUGGUCACAUUUCCUAGUUUUCCUGAGGGAGCCAGGCUCAAGGACCGCUUCUCUAGUGGCUCUUUGCCCUCUGAAAGGUAUACAGACUGUUCAAACAACUGGCUUCUCUGGCUUGAGAGUCUCUGGUGAGGAUUUUACACCCUGAUAACAGCACCAUGCUUACAAAACAGCAUGUCUUCCAUGAUUGGAAAUUCCAACAACUUGAUUCUGUUUGCCUAUGUUGUGAUGUGUAGCAACAUCUCAACCUAAAGGACCAGUUUUCCUCUUAACAAGUGCUUUGGGGAAAGACUCCAGCUAGGGUGCUCGUCUCUCUACUCAGUCACUUAACUCCACAUCCCUAUUUUUCUCUGGAUUAAUAAUUUGUCUGAGUUUGCAUUUAGUUGAAGGGAGAUACAGAGUGAAAUUGAUUAUGAAAUUAAGUAGUUUACAUUGUGUAAAAGUUUUAAUCUCUAGAUCUGCAGAAUGUCUGUCAAAAUAGAGCUUUCCACAAGGGGUCUUCCUGCUAGUGGAAAGUGUGGCAGGUGCGAAGGCUGACAUCGGGCCACCUGACUGAGGUCUCAGACCCAAAAGCAGAUGUUCGCAGUCUCUAAACUGUUGGGAUUUUUGAGAAGACUCGAGACAUUGAAUUAAGAUUCUGUGUGUGGAGCAAUCUCGUUCUUUGCUCUGCCUUUCCCAGCAUGCCCUAGGGGUGGAGAAGAACAGGCUGUUGAGUGGUACUGUCCUGCUGUGCUGGGACGUUCGGGCCUGUCCGACACCAGUUCCUGCCAUGUGGAAUGAGGCAGUGUACUGAGGCUUUCUUUGUGUGACUUGAUUUGUGUUUUGUUUUUGAGACUCACUAUAUAGCCUUGGCUGGCCUUGACCCACAGUGUAGCCUAGGAUGUGGACCUUGUAAUCCUCCUCUGGCCUCCGUCUCCGGAGUAAUAGGAUUACAAGCAAGAGCCACCACGCCUGGUGUUAACGUAUCUGCUACAUGUAUUCAGGUAUCCGCUCCAGCUGCCUCCUACCAUACACUGGAGUGUUGUUUAGUAAUAAUGUGUAUUUCAAAUGCACUACAUGUUUUUGAGGGAUUGUUUAUCAUGUAUUUACUGAAUUUCCAUGUCCGGGCUCUGUCAUUAGGCACUGUAGCUAUAUGGACACUCUCUGUGUUAAGGACUUAACUUGGACUUUUAGUCAGCACAUGGUGGGAAUUUCUCCUUUCUCCACUGGCACAGUGGCCAAUACCUCCCCUUUCCUUUCCUUUCCUUUCCUUUCCUUUCCUUUCCUUUCCUUUCCUUUCCUUUCCUUUCCUGUUGUUGUUUGUUUGUUUGUUUGCUUGAGCUUGUCACUAGGCAGAGGAAUUCUGUUUGAAGGAACUAGCUAUUAAGUUAGGUGGCCUUUGCCUAGCCCCUUAUCCCUUUUGAAUAAAGCAACAUGCAUCUUUUGUUGUUAAAUGCUUCUUUUUUGAAGCAUUUUCUCGACUCUAUGAAUCCCCUAUUUAGUCUGCCUUAAAGUGAAACAACGACCAGUGAACCGAAGCAUGACAUUUUACCAGCUGUGCAGUGGUUAGCUAAGUGUGUCUUGAGAUGUUAGCAUCAUCAUGCACUUAAACUUGACACUAGGGCUAUUUUACAAACCUUAACAAACAAAACAGAUGCCACCUUGUACAUUAUCCUGUUACUGAGCUAAAAAUCCAAAUAGCAAUCAUGGGCAUGCUUUAGAACUGUGGUUUCAGGCAGGGGUAUACAUCCUGGGGGUAUGCAGAUACUAAGUCCAUUGAGAAAAUGUUAAAAUAAUGAUUCUUUGUAUUUAAUCUCAUCCUUUUAAAUUUCUAUUUUUAUGUGUUUUAUAAUGUACAUAAUAUAUUGUACAGUUGUACACUUAUAUAAUUUAUAAAUAAAUAAUACAUUUAUUGGUGC
rnacentral:lncRNA from 1 species